CAGGCCUAACACAUGCAAGUCGAACGGUGGCAGCAAUGCCAUAGUGGCGCACGGGUGCGUAACACGUAACUAACCUGCCCAGACCUGGGGGAUAGCCCGCCGAAAGGCGGAUUAAUACCGCAUAAGAUAAUAGGGUGGCAUUCACCUAGUUAUUAAAGAUUUAUCGGGUUUGGAUGGGGUUGCGGGGCAUUAGCGAGUUGGGAAGUGAAUGGCUAACCAAGGCGACGAUGACGAGGGGAGCUGAGAGGCUGGGCCCCCACACGGGCACUAGAGAGACGGGCCCGACGCCGACGGGAGGCAGCAGGAGGGAAGAUGGGGCAAGGGGCGAGAGCCUGACCCAGCCAUGCCGCGUGCAGGAAGAAGGCUGAGGCAGGAGGAAACUGCUUUGGAGAAGGGAAGAAGACCUAGGAACGGAAACGGGGAUGACGGGACCGACAGAAGAAGCACCGGCGAAACGACGUGCCAGCAGCCGCG
rnacentral:rRNA from 1 species